rnacentral:tRNA from 1 species
GCUGAGGUAUCCAAGCUUGGUAUGGAGAUGGAUUGCUAAUCCAUUGUCGUAAGACUCACGAGUUCAAGUCUCGUCCUCAGCGCCA